CCCAGAUUGAUGAUGGUGUAGCUAAGGGCAGGAUGUGAUCCUCUGUCUCUUCAAAUGAAUAAGAUUAGAUGAGCAGCAUUUAGUGGGUGUCAGCUGAGAGCAGCUUGCCUCCCCUCCUCAGUCAGGCCAACUUUCACAUGAGAGAUGAGUAGAAGCGAGUGGGAUGGCUUUGUAUUAUCCAUUACAGGAACUUGGAGUCCACCAUCAGCCAUCUCCGCUUCGAGCAUCUCCAUGAAAGCUGGCAAACCAGAAGCAUGCAGCCUACGCGCAUCCAAGAGCGUGUGCAGAAGGGGAGCUGAUUUUUCUUUGGAAGAAUUGAACUGUGAGGAAGUGACUGCUAUUCCCACCAAGAGGAGUGAUGGCUCAGUGCUUACUUUAGAUGGCUGUAUCCAGGCAGCAUCACUGAAGAUAGUCCCCCCAACACCAUACUAGUAAUUAAAGAGCAGCCCACUGAGGUCUGGAGCUUUACAUCUCCUCCUACAGCAGAAACCUAAAAUACAGCAAAGGAACUU